rnacentral:lncRNA from 1 species
AGAGAAGUUUGAUUCCUCUCAAUUGGUUUUGAGAUAUGGAUAUGGUAAUAUUAGAGUUAUGCUAGUAGGGUGUUGUGAAUCUAUAAAUACUUGUGUUGAACUUAGUAAUUCCCGUAGCAUGCACGUAUGGUGAACCGCUAUCUUAGGAAGUCGGAGCAUACUUCAUUUAUUGAGUGUCAUCCUUUGUGUGGUGGUCGGGAUCGCGCGAUGGUUAACACCUACCAACCCUUCCCCUAGGAGUAUGCGUUUAGCACUUUAUUUCGAUUACUAAUAGAAACUUUUGCCGGUGCACUUUCACCU